ACAUGAUAGUAUAGCUAAUAUUACAUUUUGAUAUUCUUGAAACAACAUUUUGAUCGUUCCUAAUUGAAAUUUUUUAGAAUUGUGGUUUCAUGGAAAAUUUCCAAAAUUUUGGCUUUUUGUUCCAAACAAAAACAAAUUUUGGAAUGUUGGAAUUUUCCACAGAUCAGAAAUGCUUGUUUCUGACCAGUUCUAGCCCUAAAUCACUUUGGCAUUUUUAAUUUUUUAUUUAAAAUUUUACCCUCAUUCAGCUAUAAAAAAAUAACUCAAAUAUUAGGUAGGUAAAUCUGAAACAAAGAUGUAUAGCUAGAUUAGAGUAUAAACUACUGUUUCUGGAUACACCCAUCUACUCAGUAUUUGAAGAGUUAAUGCUGAGUUUAUUUUGCAUUGAUUAUAUAAAAUGUUCCCUUUGCUGGUUCAGUAGGCAAUAUCAUUGAACAAUGUUGAACUCUUCCAUCUAAUGACACAUGUAGUUCAUCUCCUGUACUAAGUAAAUUAAGUACAAAUUGGCUAUUAAUAUUUAAGAGCAAAAGAUAAAUGCUAGCUAGAAAUUGGAGCAAUUUGUACAUCCAUUCCAGCCAUUAAAAGAUUAGUCUCAGCAAUGCACUCUGUGGUUCCCUUAUCUUUUAUUAAUGCCUUGCUUUUUUAUUUUAUUAAGGAAUUUGAUCAAAACUAUGCAAUAGGGUUUGGACGUUGCUGUUCCAAUAGCCUCGUGUAUUCUGCACUACUGAAAACUCAGGAUAAACUAGAAAGUGGCGAUGCAGUUUCAUCUACAGUUGCAGUCCUAUCAGCUGGAAGGACAGUAGCAGUACAUGUCAGGCUGAAGGCCACUCAUUUAAAAAAAUAAAAAUCCCCCCAAUUUAUUAUGUUCUCGACAACCAGCUACAACGUUUGCUUAACAUGGAAAGCGUAUGGUUUGGGGCUGAUUUUUAUCUGUAGCCAUUAUCGAUUUUUAGAAGCACAACAACCAGGCUGCCUUGUGCAAACUGCUUGAGCGAUAGCACCUCGAAAUACCAACUUCCAGGAAAGGAAGAGACCUUAUGGUAGAUAGGUCUUCAGCUCCUACAAAUAUGGAUUUGAAUUCUGACUGCUCCAUGAGGCAACCUGGAACAUCCCACUGUGCUGUUUCUUCUGACUCCUACUGAUGCAAGCAUGUAUAGCGGACUGAGAUGAGCAAUGAGAUACCCUUGAGGUGGGGAAUCUUCCAGUGGAAUAAAGUCAGCAGCCAGGGCUCUAUCUUGUCUCUCUUCGCAGUAAGUAGGUGUGGGAAGGGGGAAUGGUGCUAUGUUCUGGUAAUAGACAGGGGCUGAAAUGCCCCCUUGAGGCAGCUAGUCAUAACUUAGAGCAGGUUUAAAUAUCACUGAGGCCUCAACCAGUCUCAAUCUGGCCCCAGAAUCGGGAGGUGGGAUAUAGAGAUGAUAUAGACCAGAAUCUUUCAGGGCUGGUCCCUGUAUAUUAUUCACAGUGAUGUAGUGGUAAAGAAAAGAGAAGAAAGUGGUUAAACUAAUCUCCAUAUUCCCCAAAUGAGAAGUGGGUAAACUCUGUUUACUCAUGACGAUACAACUCUUAUUAGAAAAGCCUUGACAGAGAGUGCAUGAAACUUUGACUUCUGCUUCCAGGGUCCAUAAACCCAGAUAUGAUUACUGAACUGGGAAGGGACUACAUUAGCCCUGUUGGUGAUGUUCUUGUCUAACCUGACCACAUGCGUAUUUAUGACCAAAUAGGACUAUUUUUCCCUACUGUAAAUGGUAUGGGAUCAGAAUUUUUGUUUCUUUUCAAUAAAUAAUGGGCAAUCAGUGAUUUGACAAUUACGUUGAUUGUGGAGGAGAAAUAGUAGUUUUAAUACAAGUAUAACUGUAAAAGGAUUGGAACUUCCUCUGCAGCUGAAGUAUAAAGCCACUUUGCACUAAGCUAAUUUUCCUCGGGGGGAAAUUUAGGGCUAUUACGUUAGCCACUAGAGGGCACCUUUUUAAAUCGAGAAGAGCUCUGUGUAAGCUCAAAGCUUGUCUCUCUCACUAACAGAAGUCGGUCCCAUAAAAAAGACAUUACCUCACCCACUUUGUCUCUCUCAUACCCUGGGACAGGGUGGCUACAAUAAUAAUGCAUUCAAAUUAACUUUGUAACAGCUAAUUCCUCCUAGAAUUAUUCCUGCAGUCCUAAUCCUGUUACAACAAACAUUCCCUUGUGAUAUCUCAGGUUUUCCCCCUCUUGUUUCCAGUAUUCUCAGUGUCAACAGCCCUUUACAUGUCUGGGAUCAGAGCCUUCUCAACUCUAUUCAACCCAGCCCUUGUGCAACUGACCCUACUUUUAGUGAAUGUGCUGCCCCAGCUUUCAGCGCAUAGGUCCACCGAAUGUGCCUGGCUUGCUGUGCUUUCCUCCAGCCAUACAGACAGAGCUCUGCAGGCUGCAAACCAAACUGUGGCAUUAAGCCCAAUCGGCGAUUUGUAUUCACAGCAAAGGUGCUUCAAAUCCCAACCCAGAGUGAGGGGGAAAGAAGAGAUUCUUCCUGUGAAACCAAUAAAAUGAGGAGCCAAAGGCAAGUAGAACUGAAUGACUCAGCAUGGCAGGUGCUUCAAUGACUACCCACUGCCACUUACUGAAGAGAUGCAGGGGAGUGGAGAAAGAGAAUGGCUCUUGGACAGCGAUAUAUCCAACAGUGGCUGAAUGGGCUGCCUGCUUAUAGUAGGCACAACAGCCUUAGAUAACGUGUCCAUGCACUGGUUGCUGACAAGGGACAAAAAUUACUGAAAGGGGGUUGCCUGGAACCUUUUGUGGCAUUGAAAAAGUUCAAGAUGAUUGGAGACGUAUCACGCUGCAAGAGUUCAAACCGGAUCCUGGGGCCUGAUCCUGCAAUGAUCUCUGCAUGGGCAGGCUCUGGUGCACCCUCACAACCACAGUGAAAUUGUCUGACUUAAAAUCUAUUUUAUGCCAUGGCUUCCGUGGCACUGACUUCAGUGGGGCUCUGUGCGUGGGCAGGAGGCUGACCAGGUGGGGUUCAUUGGAGGGUCAAGGCUUUAAACUGUACAGAUUUGGGGCAAGGUCUCUGUCUUCAUCCUCAUUUGAAAAGCAUCUAGUGCACCGUGGGAGUUAGCGCCAUAAGGAGUAGUCAGUAUUUUGCUGGGAAGGUGAAAACUUGUGUCUUGUUUGUAAAGUUGCUAGGGGAGCAGUUUGAAAGAGCUCCAGAGAAUAAACAGCAGCAGGAUACAAACAUCAUUUUUAUUUGCAUUGGAUCAAAUUAUAAAACAAAGACCAUUUGAUUUCCAAAGCUGCUUUCAUAGGCUUAUGCUUUGUCUCUACAAGAAAACACUAGUCUCACAAAACCACAAAUUGAAUCUAUUUCCCCAUGUUAAGUAUCCUCACACCUUCUUGUCAACUGUCUGAAAUGGGCCAUCUUGAUUAUCACUACAAAAUUAAUUAGCCUCUUAGGGUUGGUAUGGCAAC